CCUACGGGAGGCAGCAGUGAGGAAUAUUGGUCAAUGGACGCAAGUCUGAACCAGCCAUGCCGCGUGCAGGAAGACGGCUCUAUGAGUUGUAAACUGCGUUUGUACGAGGGUAAACGCAGAAACGCGUAUCUGUCUGAAAGUAUCGAAUGAAUAAGUAUAGGCUAACUCCGUGACAGCAGCCGCGGUAAUACGGAGGAUUCAAGCGUUAUCCGGAUUUAUUGGGUUGAAAGGGUGAGUAGGCGGUCGUAUAAGUGAGAGGUGAAAUCCCGAGGCUCAACUUCGGAAUUGCCUCUGAUACUGUUCGCCUUGAGUGUACUUGCGGUAGGCGGAAUGUCUUGUGUAGCGGUGAAAUGCUU
rnacentral:rRNA from 1 species